GGUUCAGUGGUGGAUGGUCCACGUCCGCGCUACUUGCAAAAUAUGUGCUAUUUUGAAAGCGCAAGGCGCCUGUUCGAUUCGGGCCUGAGCUA